rnacentral:rRNA from 1 species
ACGGAAGGCAGCAGUGGGGAAUAUUGGGCAAUGGGCGAAAGCCUGACCCAGCAACGCCGCGUGAAGGAAGAAGGUUUUCGGAUUGUAAACUUCUUUUAUGAGGGACGAAGGAAGUGACGGUACCUCAUGAAUAAGCCACGGCUAACUACGUGCCAGCAGCCGCGGUAAUACGUAGGUGGCAAGCGUUAUCCGGAUUUACUGGGUGUAAAGGGCGCGGAGGCGGGGAUGCAAGUCAGGUGUGAAAUCUAUGGGCUUAACCCAUAAACUGCACUUGAAACUGUAUCUCUUGAGUGCUGGAGAGGUAGACGGAAUUCCGUGUGUAGCGGUGAAAUGCGCAGAUAUAAGGAAGAACACCAGUGGCGAAGGCGGUCUACUGGACAGUAACUGACGCUGAGGCGCGAAAGCGUGGGGAGCAAACAGGAUUAGAUACCCUGGUA